UACGAAGGGGGGCUAGCGUUGCUCGGAAUCACUGGGCGUAAAGCGCACGUAGGCGGCUUCUUAAGUCAGGGGUGAAAGCCUGGAGCUCAACUCCAGAACUGCCUUUGAUACUGAGGAGCUUGAGUUCGGGAGAGGUGAGUGGAACUGCGAGUGUAGAGGUGAAAUUCGUAGAUAUUCGCAAGAACACCAGUGGCGAAGGCGGCUCACUGGCCCGAUACUGACGCUGAGGUGCGAAAGCGUGGGGAGCAAACAGG
rnacentral:rRNA from 1 species